rnacentral:rRNA from 1 species
AGCAGCCGCGGUAAUUCCAGCUCCAAUAGCGUAUAUUAAAGUUGUUGCAGUUAAAAAGCUCGUAGUUGAAUUUCGGGAUCAAUAUGUUGGUCGUGCCUUGGUACGUACUGGCAUUAUCGAUUCCUACCUUCUGAAGAACCUCGAUGUCAUUAAUUUGGUGUCUUGGGGAAUCAGGACUGUUACUUUGAAAAAUUAGAGUGUUUAAAGCAGGCUCGCGCUUGAAUACAUUAGCAUGGAAUAAUGAAAUAGGACGUUUGAUUCUAUUUUGUUGGUUUCUAGGAUCGACGUAAUGAUUAAUAGGGAUAGUUGGGGGCAUUAGUAUUCAAUUGUCAGAGGUGAAAAUUCUUGGAUUUAUUGAAGACUAACUACUGCGAAAGCAUUUGCCAAGGAUGUUUUCAUUAAUCAAGAACGAAAGUUAGGGGAUCGAAGACGAUCAGAUACCGUCGUAGU